UUCUCCCUCCUUCCCUCCCUCCCUCCCACCCUCCUCUGGGAUCCUUGCAAGUAGCUUGCGUGCCCUCGCGAGUUUGGAAGGUGCCGGCCACCGAAGCCACGCGAGUAUUUGAAAGGCAAUCAGCCCGACCGUCCCCCUAGAGUCAUCGUUUGCGAGGUUGCUGUGACCGCUGGCGACAAGUGCUUCCUCAGCCGCAACCCAGCUGAAAGAGUUAAGGGGCCGGGAGGAGGAGUGCGGCCGCAAGAGUUUGUAGGUGGCAAGGGUUGCUGCAGAAGACAAGGAACUAUUAUUUUUCAGAGGUGUAAUUCACUACCAGAAAAGGUGUGGACCAUGAAAUUACCCCCCAACUUAAGGAUUUAUGGGUAGUCUCGGCUGUUCCUGCUGCCAUGUCUGGCCUGCGUGAGAGUGAUGGAUUGAUCCCUCCUGAACUGCAAACCCUAAAGCAGCCACCCUCACCUCUGAAGAAGGAACUUGGUGACUAUUGUCCUGGCUCCGGAUGCUCCUGCCCAUUGACAGUUGCCUGUUUUGCUCGUAUUUCUUGAGUCAGCAUGAGCACUGCUAAGUAUGAAGUGACAGUAGACACUCUGUGCUACAAUGCACCUGGAAGGAAGAAGAGAGAUGUGGAACAACUGCCUUGGAAGGGUGCUUCUCCUGCCAACUGGCACUUAUCAAAGGACAUCGAGGGAGGGGGACAGAGUGCCUAGAAAGUAGCGUCAUCAUGUUGAGAAGACCCUACUCAAGCAGGAAAUGCUCAGAUGAAGAAAUGAUGCUUUGAACAGGGCUUUCCAGGGCUGGUGCUGUCCAGGGGUUGACAGACAGAGGCCCUGGGAUGUGUCUUCUCUGUCGCUUAUUCCUAUAAAUAAAGUUCUAUUGG